rnacentral:lncRNA from 1 species
UUUGGCUAAUUUCUCCCCUCUGGCAUGGUUAUUUUGUUGGCCCGUUGGCCCUUGUCUGUUUGUGGCCCGUUGGCCAUUGACCGUGAUUUUCAAAUGGCAACUGUUAUUACUAAAGAAACUUAUCAUAUUUUGUUUUUUAGUGAAGUGGCUUUGGGCUGCAAAAGACACCGGGCGUGUGGAGGCAGUCGUUGGGCCAUACAAAUUGUAUGACUCUUCUUUUCGCACACUGGAGGACAGUGGGUGGCUUUCUGAUGAGGUAAGUGAAGUAAUCAUUUUUGGUCCUAGUGGUGGUCUGUAAAAAUAAUCUUCUUUUAAUCCAAACAGGUCAUUGAUGGAUACCUGCACUGCCUCAUUAGGAAACAAAAGGCAAGUAAGAACGUAUGCCAGUUAUUUCACAAAAGCAUUUUAUACAAUUAUGUAAUCUUUUAAAAAAACCUCUUGCAUUUUUCAGGAACCCGUGUAUCAGUUGUCUUGCGUUGUUGCAACCUCUGUUUUCUGGGAAGUUUAAAUGUGUCACCAAGGUAAUGUAGAUGUUAUAUAGGUCAUAUAGUGCAUGUUAUGUAAAUGAAUCUAAACCUUUAUAAACUUAAAAAUAUUCCACAGAUGUUGUUUCUAGCUGAGGACAUUUGGUUGUGCCCACUGAACUUCGGUGCACACUGGAUCCUUGUGGUACAUUGUUCUUUUUAGCAGCAUAUUCUUAUUUUGAAAAUGCUUACAACUGAUUAUGUUUACUUAAGUUAGUGUACUACACAUAUUCUACUAAAUACCAUUUUUAUUUUAGGUUGUCAAACCUAUUUUAGGUUUGACAACCUAGUGUGGAAAAUGGAGACUCUGCCACACAACAAGCAGAUGGACUCCAGCAGUUGUGGAGUUUUAGUGUUGAAGUUUGCCGAACACUACCUUAUGAGUGGAGAGGUUACUAGGGUGCUGUCCACUCCAGAAGCCAUUGGGCUGCAACGCACAGAAAUUGCUUGCGAACUGCUAGAACAUCAAAGUAAUGCUGAUGACUACUGUGUGGUUUGUUCCAUGCUGGAAGCCGAUCCUGAGUCCAGUAUGAUUGAAAUGGUGCAGUGUGACUUUUGUCUCAGAUGGGCACAUUUUGGAUGUGCUCAAUAUGAGAGCAGCCUGGUCAAGUACUUGUGCGACAAAUGUGCAUAA